rnacentral:lncRNA from 1 species
UUCUAAUAAAAUGGGAAAAUGGGAAAGGAGGGAGGAGGGCGUUCUUUGAAAAUAGAAUAGACCAUUUAGCUUGAUUAGUUUUUUUAGAAAAAUAAUUUUCUCUGUCUAACCUGAUUUUCCUUUUUCAGCUAAGAGGAGGAGAAAUGAAAGAAAAAAUAAGGGAAAUGUGUUUUUCCUUAUAGUAACAGAAGAAAAGGGAGAAAAAUUAAAGAAAGGAAAAAGAAAGAAGGCAAGAUGAAAGCAGCGUGCUCCUCCAAACUUUGAUUUUAAUCACAUCUUUGGGACUCUGUGAGUUGGCAGAGGAUAUGACACAUAGAAAUACUCUGCUCUGAGUUCUUCCACUAGAGCUUCAGAAAAAGAUAAUCAGCUUUUGAUCUGCAUAGCUUCAAAUCAUAAACCUAAAUGAGAUUUUUUAGGCAUACAAAUAAACCAUGACCUCCUUUGUAACUAACCCCUUAA